rnacentral:rRNA from 1 species
UCGGGCCUUGCGCUAUCAGAUGAGCCUAGGUCGGAUUAGCUAGUUGGUGAGGUAACCUUGGCUCACCAAGGCUACGAUCCGUAACUGGUCUGAGAGGAUGAUCAGUCACACUGGAACUGAGACACGGUCCAGACUCCUACGGGAGGCAGCAGUGGGGAAUAUUGGACAAUGGGCGAAAGCCUGAUCCAGCCAUGCCGCGUGUGUGAAGAAGGUCUUCGGAUUGUAAAGCACUUUAAGUUGGGAGGAAGGGCAUUAACCUAAUACGUUGGUGUCUUGACGUUACCGACAGAAUAAGCACCGGCUAACUCUGUGCCAGCAGCCGCGGUAAUACAGAGGGUGCAAGCGUUAAUCGGAAUUACUGGGCGUAAAGCGCGCGUAGGUGGUUUGUUAAGUUGAAUGUGAAAUCCCCGGGCUCAACCUGGGAACUGCAUCCAAAACUGGCAAGCUAGAGUAUGGUAGAGGGUAGUGGAAUUUCCUCUGUAGCGGUGAACUGCGUAGAUAUAGGAAGGAACACCAGUGGCGAAGGCGACUACCUGGACUGAUACUGAGGCUGAGGUGCGUUCGAAGCGUGGGGAGCAAACAGGAUUAGAUACCCUGGUAGUCCACGCCGUAAACGAUGUCAACUAGCCGUUGGGAGUCUUGAACUCUUAGUGGCGCAGCUAACGCAUUAAGUUGACCGCCUGGGGAGUACGGCCGCAAGGUUAAAACUCAAAUGAAUUGAC